UUCUCUGGUAAAUCUAGAUGUUCUCUAUAUCAAGCUUUAACAGUCAACCUCACAUCUUUAAGCAAUUUGAUAUUUUACUCUGUGAAGCAUUUGAAUCCCAAACAAUUUGGGUACCAUGGAAAUUGAAUAUCUCAAUACAGCAAUCAAGGAGGAAUGUCCACAGCCCCAGACUCUUGAGCCAGACUCUAAACACCAGGAUGAAGACUCCAGCACCUCCCUUCUCAGACCUUUGGCUUCAGCGGGGAGUUACACCCUAUCUUCCUCCUAUACUUGGGAUCCUACUGAACAGUAUUAAUCUCCUCAUUAGCUUUCCUAGCUUUCCAAUGUUCCCAGCACAUUGUGGGUCUUUGGCCUGAC
rnacentral:lncRNA from 1 species